rnacentral:tRNA from 1 species
GCCUUCGUGGUGUAGUGGUCAGCAUGCUCGUCGCGUGUUCGAGCAGUCCGUGGUUCGAGUCCCGGCGAGGGCA